GAUUAAGCCAUGCAUGUGUAAGUAUAAAUAGUUAACUUUGAAACUGCGAAUGGCUCAUUAUAUCAGUUAUAGUUUAUUUGAUGAAGAAUACUAAUUGGAUAAUCGUAGUAAUUCUAGAGCUAAUACAUGUAUAAAGUCUUGUAGACUGCAUUUAUUAGAAUGAAAACCAUAGGUUUCGGCCUAUUCGUGAGUAAUAAUAACUAAUCAUAUCGUAUGCUUAUGUAACGAUGUGUCUUUCAAGUUUCUGCCCUAUCAGCUUUCGAUGGUAGUGUAUUGGACUACCAUG
rnacentral:rRNA from 1 species